rnacentral:rRNA from 1 species
CAUAGCGACUAUCGUGGCAUAUCAAUAAGCGGAGGAAAAGAAACUAACUAGGAUUCCCUUAGUAACGGCGAGUGAAGUGGGAAGAGCUCAAAUUUGAAAUCUUCAAGGUUCUACCUUGACGAAUUGUAGUUUAUAGAAGUGUUUUCUGUUAGUAGAGUUGGCUAAAAGUUCUUUGGAAUAGGACAUCAUAGAGGGUGAGAAUCCCGUAUUUGAUCAUUCUUUCUAACUUUGUGAUACACUUUCAACGAGUCGGAUUGUUUGGGAAUGCAGUCCAAAAGUGGGUGGUAAAUUUCAUCUAAAGCUAAAUACUGGCGAGAGACCGAUAGCGAACAAGUACCGUGAGGGAAAGAUGAAAAGAACUUUGAAAAGAGAGCUAAACAGUACGUGAAAUUGUCAAAAGGGAAGCGUUUGACACCAGUGUUGUUUUCUCGAAAAUCAAUUAAGAAUGAUUGGAUUUUGAGGAUUGUAUUGACUUUAUCAGGCUUGCUGCACUUUUUUCUGAAUCUUUUUUAAUGUACUUUUCGGUUAACAAGUCAACAUCAAUUUCUUUUGUUGUAAAAGGUCAUUGAGGAAGGUGGCUUCUUCUUCGGAGAAAGUGUUUAUAGCCUUUGGCUUCUACAAUCGGAGAGAUUGAGGUCUGCAGCGUAGAUCCUUCGGGGUUAGAUACAGUUUGUGCUGAGCUAUAGUUCUUUAUAGACAACUUGUUGACUAUAAUCAAUCCUGUAACUUACUCGCUUAUGCUAUUUUACCUACGCUUAGGAUGUUGAUAUGCAUGACUGAUAU